GGAUGUAGCUUAGUGGUAGAGUGCCUACCUAGCAUGUACAAGGUCCUGGGAUCAAUCCUCAGCCCC
rnacentral:tRNA from 1 species